rnacentral:rRNA from 1 species
GAUGAACGCUGGCGGCGUGCCUAAUACAUGCAAGUCGAGCGAACAGACGAGGAGCUUGCUCCUCUGACGUUAGCGGCUGACGGGUGAGUAACACGUGGAUAACCUACCUAUAAGACUGGGAUAACUUCGGGAAACCGGAGCUAAUACCGGAUAAUAUAUUGCACCGCAUGGUUCAAUAGUGAAAGACGGUUUUGCUGUCACUUAUAGAUGGAUCCGCGCCGCAUUAGCUAGUUGGUAAGGUAACGGCUUACCAAGGCAACGAUGCGUAGCCGACCUGAGAGGGUGAUCGGCCACACUGGAACUGAGACACGGUCCAGACUCCUACGGGAGGCAGCAGUAGGGAAUCUUACGCAAUGGGCGAAAGCCUGACGGAGCAACGCCGCGUGAGUGAUGAAGGUCUUCGGAUCGUAAAACUCUGUUAUUAGGGAAGAACAAAUGUGUAAGUAACUAUGCACGUCUUGACGGUACCUAAUCAGAAAGCCACGGCUAACUACGUG